rnacentral:lncRNA from 1 species
CUUGAAGCCUGGAGUUCAAGACCAUCCUGGGCAACACAGCGAGACCCCAUCUCUUCAAGAAAAAAUUUUUAAAAAUUAGCUGGGCUUGGUGGCACACACCUGUAGUCCCAGCUACUUGGGAGGCUGAGAUGGGAGGAAGGCUUGAGCCCAGGAGAUGGAGGCUACAGUGAGCUAUGUUUGCAACACUGUACUCCAGCUUGGGUGACAGAGCAAGACCCUGUCUCUAAAACAAAACAAGCCAAAGUGCAAAAGAGCCUACAAAGAAUGCUCCGUCUAGGAAAGAGGGGAAUAUAUGUGUAUAUGUUUAUCUUUACAAAAUUAAACACACGGGAGAUAAACCAGGAGACAAUUAUGCUCAUUACCAAAAAGCGAGGAGGAGGUACAGGAGGGAGUGGCUCCCUGCAUCUGUCUUCAGGGGCAGUUUUGACAUCUGGAAGGAUGGUCACACUCUACAAACCUAACAGGAUGGGGGUGUGGGGUAUGGUGGGAGGCACAAGACUGAAAGCAAACGGAAAGGAUGACCCCAGCUGUAUUUCCAAUGAAGGCACCACUACACUGACGGUGGAGAAGCCGACCCAAGGAACUCAUGAGCACAGUGCUUGACGGCACCCGCAGUUGUGGGCAGGGAGUGAACUGCAAACAAUCCCGACCUCUUCAUGGUGGGUUUGUUUUUGCAAUCCUGUGGCAAAGCUGCACUGGAGCUCUCGAGCAGGCGUGCACUGGACUCCCUAGCAGAUGCGUGAGGAUGCUGCUGUUGCUGGGGGCCAGGGUCCUCAGGGUGGAGAUGGGGGGUGGGGGAGAACCGUGCAAGGUGGGACGGAAUCCAGGCACGGUUCUGUGCUGUUUCAGAUCUGUACACGCAUAUUACAUAUGUACGUGUGCGUCUGCACGCAGCAGGCCUGUCCUCCCUAGCCUGUCCACAGAAAGGGCCUAAAGCUCAGGCACCCCGUGGCAUCGAGCACACCUCGUGUCUAGAUCCUGGUCUCUAACGCUGUUCCCCACCAAAGUGAGCCAAGACCCACAGAGCAAUGGCCGAGGCCAGAGGCCCAAGAGGACGCCCUGCCAUGCCUGGUCAUGAGGAGGUGCUCGAAGGAGAGGCACGGCGCACAGGCAGAGCAUGGCAGGCUUCCCACCAGCAAAUCUCGUACACUUUGAACACCAGGAUAAUUAAAGACAGGAGUGACUCACAGACCACUGAAGUCGGGAGGCAAUCCACAUGUGGCCAGCGAUAAAAGAGAACAAAUGAGCGUGGAUAACCAGUGAAUACCUGAGACACACAGGUGGAUGGAUCGGGGAGGGAGCCCAUGUCUGUGGAUGCUGGGGCCAGGAAGCCUGCUCUCCAGCCCUCACCAUCUGGCCUCUGUGGGAGUCAGGAAGUGUCUGCACAGAUGUUCGCCAGAUGCAAUGGGAAAACCAGGAGGCAUCAGGUGGAGAGGCAGCUCCAGGGCACCUGGGCAACAGCCACAAGCUCUCAAAGAGCACAGGAAGAAAUCAUGUCUUUAUGCACACGUGUGUGCAUGUGUGGUAUGUAUGCAUGGUGUGUGCACGUGUGCAUGAUUGCAUUGUGUGGUGUGUAUGCAUGGUGUGUGCACGUGUGCAUGAUUGCAUUGUGUGGUGUGUAUGCAUGGUGUGUGCACCUGUGCAUUGUGUGUGUGCAUGCGUGGUGGGUAUGUAUGGUGUGUGCACGUGUGAUUCUGCAUGCAUGGUGUGUAUGCAUGGUGUGCACAUCUGUGCAUUGUGUGUGGAUGCAUGUGUGGUGUGUAUGCAUGGUGUGCACAUGCAUUGUGCAUGCGUGGUGUAUGCAUGGUGUGUGCACGUGUGCACUGUGUGGUGUGUAUGCAUGGUGUGUGCACGUGUGCACUGUGUAUGCAUGGUAAUGUGCACGUGUGCACUGUGUGGUGUGUAUGCAUGGUGUGUGCACGUGUGCUGUGUGGUGUGUAUGCAUGGUGUGUGCACGUGUGCACUGUGUGUGGUGUGUAUGCAUGGUGUGUGCACGUGUGCACUGGUGUGUGCAUGGUGUGUGCACGUGUGCACUGUGUGUGGUGUGUAUGCAUGGUGUGCACGUGUGCACUGUGGUGUGUAUGCAUGGUGUGCACGUGUGCACUGUGUGGCGUGUAUGCAUGGUGUGUGCACGUGUGCACUGUGUGGUGUGUAUGCAUGGUGUGUGCACGUGUGCACUGGUGUGUAUGCAUGGUGUGUGCACGUGUGCACUGUGUGUGGUGUGUAUGCAUGGUGUGUGCACGUGUGCACUGUGUGUGGGUGUAUGCAUGGUGUGUGCACGUGUGCACUGUGUGGCGUGUAUGCAUGGUGUGUGCAUGUGUGCACUGUAUGCAUGCAUGUGUGGUGUGUGUGCAUGUGUGCAUGGCGUGUGCAUACGUGUGCAGCAGCACCUGGUCCCGUCUCCAGUGCCCAGCAGCGUCACACGCACUCUGGUGUUUUAUAAAUGCAUGGUCAGUGAGGCUGACAGCACCAAGCUGUCCCUUUACCAUAACACCUGGAAUAGUCACCUGUGAUAAGCUAUCACAUAGGAAACAUUUUUAAAAUUUCAUUCUCAUUAUUUUCUGUAAUCUUGAGAGGUUCCAAUCAACAUUUAUUGUCUUAUUCUUUUUAUCUCAUUCCUUUUUGAAUCUGUUUAUCUCCUAAAAUUUUAUCUGUGAUGGAGAUGGGAUGCCUGUGAAUACAAAAGUUGCAGUGGUGGCACCAGGGUGGGGGGGUGCGGCCGGGGCCACCAUGGUCUCCCCUGAGAGGGGGUGCUGUCUUAGGUGCCCCAAGAGGCCCUCGGGCAGCAAGCGUGUGGUGCUGCCAAAAUACAGCUCCCCCUGGGUGGGCAGGACACACGUGGCCUCCUGGCAGACAGGUGCCUGGGUGAGCCCGCUGCUCCUGAUUAGUCAUGAAUGGCACCUGGUCUGGGCGACAGUCACCCGCAGGAAGCCCUGAGCUGGCCACCAUCACCCUGGGCAGUGGCUCCCGGGGUGCCAACAAGACCUGGGCCCCUCGUUCUUUGGUGCUGAGAGCCCCAGCUGAGGCUGUGGAGGAGGCCCUGGACCUGGUCUGGUGUCUGUCAGAGGCAGGUGCCCAGUCCUUUGACUUGCUUCUCUGAAUUGUCAUAAUUGUGCUGGAAUUGUGCCAGAAACUGGUAGCGAUAACAGCUCCUGGAAGGCCUGUGGCUGCUGAGGGCUGCCUGGUCCCCCUCAGGACAGCCGGGGGAGCCUCUCCAGAAGCACCAGCUUUGUCUGCAGGUGGACGUUGAAGGGGGGCAGUUGGGUCAGGUUCAGACUCACACCUGUGGUCCCCACGACGCUGGCCAGGACCCGGUGUGUGUCCCUGUAGAGGGCCAGGAGCCCAGGGGCCGCCUCCAUGAGGAUGUGUGUGUAUGCCAGCAUGCCUGUCCCCGGCUGCACAUCCUCCCUCUUGUCGUACCUGUGGGAUGAGAGCUGGUGGUCCUGCCCAGGGCCCCCACAUCACCCUGUCCCCCGCCCCCAAGGGGCCCUCACAUGGCCUCUGGGAGGGCCGUGCUGUGUGUGGAUCCUACCUCCAGGCGCUGUUGACUUGGAGAAACCGAGACACACCUGUCUGGGCGGCUGCCACGUCAAUGUGCAGAAGGACGUCUAGGAAAACCAGGCCUGCCAUCAGAGCCCAGCCCUGCAGUCGGAGCCACAGCAGUCCCCAGGCAGUGCCCCGAGCACCCACCUGUCUGGGGGGGCACCAGCUGGUGCAGCCUCUGCAUUGCGACGCCACCUGGGUAGUUGAAAUGGGACACAUACAGGGCCGUGGCCGAGUAGGCGGCAUUCACCACGAGGUGUCCGAUCACAAGCAGAGACCCCGCUUUGUACAGCCAAGACUUUUUAUAGUUAUUCAGCCU